AAUAGUAAUAAUAGUUGUUGUUGUUAACAACAACAACAACAACAACAACAACAAUAAUAAUAGUACCGCGCCCAUCUGGCUGGGUUGCCUCAGCCACUCUGGGCGGCUCCCAACAG